UACAUUGUACUCUCCCAAACGCUCAGUGGUCUGCACACUAGCGAUCCACAGCUGCGACACCCCUGCUCCCCGUGGACCACCCCCGAAAAUAGAGACGAAACGGAGGUCGCCGCUGCUGAAGGGUUCUUUGAGGCAUUAAGUGGAUUUAUGUUCCCGAGCAGUGGAAACGGCGGCAGCGGCGAGGGAGAGGCGGCCGGAACUGAACCUCAGAGGGCGGUUGAGCGGAGUGGUCGGAAGGUCCAAUGGCUAGUGUCAGAGUCUCUGGCUGGGCUGGGCCGCUGUCCAGAGCCCAGCUCCUCUUGAGAACGCCACAGGGAGGUGGAAUUAACCGACGUAACUGUGGCCAACCUGAUUUGCUUGUAUCCCCCCCCAUCACUCAAUACAGUGCCUGGCACAUAGUAAGUGCUUAA